rnacentral:rRNA from 1 species
ACGCGACCCCCAGGUCAAGCGGGGCUACCCGCUGAGUUUA